UUCUACAGGAAGGAAGACAAUACAAGAAAAAGGAGAGAAAAUUGAUCAAGGUUGAUGAAAAUCAUUCCUGGAACUCCCACUCCCCACCUCAGUUGACUUCUGCAAUUCAGUAGCCAGAACAGCACCACCGACCCAUGGAUUAAAACAAUGACUGACAGGGAGGCAAAGUCCACAGCUUACUCCAGACAUAAUACCACCCAUUAUGCUAGGUGGAUGUCUUUCUCCCCGGAAGCUUAUAGAUUAGCUGAAAUGGGUGGAUACUUGAAGAAAAUUGGAGCUUUGCCAGAAGGAAAAAGAAGAAGAGGAUGGAUGUUGAAUAAGCAGCCAAAAAUGUCUACUAUAGGGUGGCAUGAAUCCCAUUUCCUUAUUAGAAAAAGAAUUCAAAAGAUGUGUCCAAUUAGUGAUGAAGAAGUUAUACUCCAUGUAUAAAGUAUACAACUUUUACAUACAGUAGAGAACGCCUUCUAUUUUAGAGCUAAAACAAUUUUACGAACUGUCACUAUCAACAUUUUAUCUCUCUCGAUCUUAAGAGGUUAAGACAAGAUAAAAAUUCCUUCAAGGUCUGAGAUACGAAAACCAUUAUUAAUUCAAAACCUAAAAUAAGGAAAUGCUAAGUAUUUGAAUAAUAUUUUAUUUAUUUUUUAUAAGCUGAAUUUUUAUGCAAAAGAUAUGAGCUAGGCUUUAAAAAAAUAACGAAAUACCAAAAGAGGUAGUUAUGGGAUUGGUGCUAGGGAAAAAUAAAGAUAGAAAAAUAUUAAAGACAAGAGGAGCAUGCAGAAACACAAAUCAUACAUUCCUGGAGAGUUAAGAGCUGCCUAAGAAUUACUCUCUGUGAUUUGAAACAAGAAGGAAAACACUUUAAGUUAUAAAACUGACAAUGUCUUUAAGAUAAAAUUACAAUAAUGGUUUAGAGGAGGCAUAGCUUUGCUCAGUAUUAAAACUUAAGAUAAAUUUCACUCACAUUUUCUCAUAAGGAGGACACUGCAAUAAAUAUUAUUCUUAGCAUCAAGGUUUUAAAGGCUGGUAUAUUAAAGUGAUGCUAACCACUGAAACAAACAAACUCUAAUACUUCAGUGCCUUAUCACAGUAAAAAUUUAUUUCUUGAUCAUGUAACAUCCUGUGCUGGUGGCCAAAAUGUUUGUAUCUUGCGGGUCCACCUGUCUCCUGGGACUCAAUGCCCUCUGCAUUCAGCUACAGUAGUUUCCCAGCCUGAGCACCACUGGCAUUUCAGAGUGCAUGAUGCUUUGUUGUGGAGGGCCGUUGGGUGUUAUUGUAGGAUGUUGAGAAGCAUCACUGACUACCACUAACUAGACAGCAGAAGCAAAACAAUCAAAAAUGCCUCCUACUACUGCUGCCAAUGUCUCCUGGGAGACAAAAUUGCCUAUGGUUGAGAACCGCUGAAUCAGAGAAUGCGGAAAGAGAAAAUCGAGAAGGUACAUCUGGUUUUAUUAAAAUGUAAUUCACACAUGCAUACACAAAUGCUUGGAUCUUAAGUGUUGAGUUCAAUAAGUUUUGACAAUUGUUACACCUGUGUAAUAACCAUUCAGAAGAAGACACCAACCAUUGUUUUCAUCUAGAACGUUCCCUAGUACUCAUGUGUAGCCAACCCACCAUUCCCCGCAGGCAACCACUUCCUGAUUUUUCUCACUGUAGACUAGUUUUGUCUAUUAUUGAACCUCAUAUGAAUGGAAUUAUACGAUAUGUGCUCUUUUGUGUCUGGCUUCUAGCACACAAUGUUUUGAAACUUAUCCAUGUUUUUACCUGAAUCAGUAGUUUUUUCCUCCCUAUUGAGGAAGGGUAUUCUGAUGCAUGAAUACCACGUCACAAAUUUGUUUCUUUGUUCAACGGUUUUACAUUUUCUUUUUAAACAAUUUGACCUAAAAGUGAUGUGUUUCACUUCUGUUCAGAUUCCACUGGUGAGAACUAGUAUCAUGACCCAUCUAAUUGUAAGGAGGGCUGGGAAACGAUGUCUUUUGCAGACCUGUGAUUCACAGAAGGCUUCACUUUAAUUUCACAUGUGAGUACAUUAUGUUUUAAUCUAAACUACAGAGAAAACAGAUAAUCCAUAAUAAUAGAAAUGUAAAUGAAACAUUUAUCACAAUUAUCCAUGAAUGGAAGCUCACAGUCAUGAAUUCAUGAAUAUUUUUAGAGUAAAAUUUUUCCCAGUCCCUUUAAAAGGGUUGGCACCCUAAAAGCACAUUGUAAAAACAGUUGUCUUUCCUGCUUGAAUAAUGCUGAGAGAUGAAAGAGACCAGCAUUCUUUGCUUUACUUUUACUAAUGAUUUCACAUAUAUAAGCACGUGAUAAAAAUACAACAGGAAGAUGACUGAAGAUGAAUUGAUAUAAACCUAUGCCUCAUUUGGAAAUAUGAGCAUAUCUGUUGGGAUUCCAUCAUAUAAAAAUAGAGAUUUUAUUUAUAAAUGUGCAUGUAUGUGCUGUCAUAUCAUGAACCUUUUUUAUUUGCCUAAUCUAACAUAUUCACAAUAUUUUAUUCCUCUCACAUACCUAAUGUAUACUCAUUCUAUAUUCUGUGUAUGUGGGUUCUUAAGAGUGUUCCCAACCUGUGUUCCCCGGAAGGAUUCAGACCUAAAUGUGUGUCUGAGUGGGACUGAUAUGAGCCUGGUGGGGAUCUCAGAAGGCUCUAAAGAAACCCUAGGAAAACAACCCCCUUCAAAGAAAAGCAAGCAAAUCUGGCUCAAAGCAAGAUUUGGCUGUCCUCUAUACUUUUAACUUAAAAAUCUGAGCACAGAUAAAGGGAGUUGCCAUCCUUUUUUAAAAGCCCUGAAUUCAUGUUUGCAGGCCGACAAUUAUCUCAGGGGGUUCAGUGAGUAUAACAGACCAAUUCUUGGUCUUUAAGUUUGUCAUUGUCUUUGCAAAAAUCAAAACUCUGGUAUAUUUCAUUUCCUAGCUUAAAAUGCCUUGAAACUCUAUUAUGUUUUACAUUUUAAAAAGUCAGAGCGAGCAUAACUGCAUCUAAUUUGCAAUGCUUGCCUAGUCACAGUGUUAAUUCACAGGACUUGUGUUAAUAAUAUUAUGCACUUCAAAGUGAAUCCCGUAUAUUCUACAGAAUUAACUAGAGUUGUUCAGGGGCCUGUUAACAAGUUGCUGAAAUGCAGAAGCUUUUGGGUUUGCUGAGCAGUCAUAGCCUAUUACAAGUUGUGUCAAGAAAAUUUCAGGGACAGGCCAACGAGAAUCGCUGUUCUUGGUGGAGCCUUAGGCACUGCUUUCAGAUUGCAUUAAGAAUCACAUAUGCAGGGAUUCCAGAUAACUAUUAUAGGUGGGCUCCAGUUUAAGAAAUAUUAGUUGUGAAAGGCAGUCUUGGAACAGGUCUAAAUUAGCAAAAAUAAUGAGUUUCCUAUCUAUGCAACAACUCUCAUUCAUUCAUUCAACAAAUGUUCCCUGACCCUUGCCAUGAAUCCCCAUAGUAUUCCAGGAGUACUCUGAGUAAGACACACCCUUUCUCCGAAGGAGCUGACACCUUGGAGGUAGAUAUUAAUAAUUAGCUACAUCCAGAGGUGAUAGGUAAAAACAAGAUACUAUGAACACCAAAAUCAUGGAGACAAUAUUUCCAGCAAGAAAUUCCAGGAGAGUUCACAGGGAAGAUAGUUCUUAGCUGACACUCAAAGAUAGCAUUAGUGACUACAAGUAGGAAAGAUGAACAAUGCUUAGAGGAAUGAGGAUAGGAAGCUACACAUGCACUGGACAUGG